CAAACUUUCGUUUGGUUUAACACAAAGAUGACCUCCCUUCUACCGAGACCCUGAGCCUUCAGAUCCAUCAUAGGAUUCAAGGGCAUCCACGUGGAGUCCACCAGCAAAUCACUGAGUGACAGAGUGGAGGCUGGCAGGUACGUUUAUUGCAUAACAAGCCACUGCAACACUUAAUAGCCUACACAAUAACAAUGC
rnacentral:lncRNA from 1 species